rnacentral:rRNA from 1 species
UGGGGAAUAUUGGACAAUGGGCGAAAGCCUGAUCCAGCCAUGCCGCGUGUGUGAAGAAGGUCUUCGGAUUGUAAAGCACUUUAAGUUGGGAGGAAGGGCAUUAACCUAAUACGUUAGUGUUUUGACGUUACCGACAGAAUAAACGACCGGCUAACUUCGUGCCAGCAGCCGCGGUAAUACGAAGGGUGCAAGCGUUAAUCGGAAUUACUGGGCGUAAAGCGCGCGUAGGUGGUUCGUUAAGUUGGAUGUGAAAGCCCCCGGGCUCAACCUGGGAACUGCAUCCAAAAACUGGCGAGCUAGAGUACGGUAGAGGGUGGUGGAAUUUCCUGUGUAGCGGUGAAAUGCGUAGAUAUAGGAAGGAACACCAGUGGCGAAGGCGACCACCUGGACUGAUACUGACACUGAGGUGCGAAAGCGUGGGGAGCAAAACAGGAUUAGAUACCCUGGUAGUCCACGCCGUAAACGAUGUCAACUAGCCGUUGGGUUCCUUGAGAACUUAGUGGCGCAGCUAACGCAUUAAGUUGACCGCCUGGGGAGUACGGCCGCAAGGUUAAAACUCAAAUGAAUUGACGGGGUCAUAGCUGUUUCCUG